AAGCUCGUAGUUGAAUUUCGGGGUUCUACCGUUGGUCGGGCUAACCAGUCUGUACUAGCGUGUAGAAUUCCUACCUUCUGGGGAACCAUCAUGUUAUUAAUUUAGCGUGGUGGGAAACCAGGACCUUUACCUUGAAAAAAUUAGAGUGUUCAAAGUAGGCUUACGUCUGAAUACAUUAGCAUGGAAUAAUAAAAUAGGACGGUGGUCCUGUUUUGUUGGUUUCUGAAUCACCGUAAUGAUUAAUAGGGAUAGUUGGG
rnacentral:rRNA from 1 species